AGGAGGGGCUUGGGGCAUUGAUCUAUGUAACUUGAUCUGUCUCAAAUUUCUCUACAUGGGUUUGUCAGGGGCGGCAGUCAAUUAGACCCUGAUCUGGGAGGCUGGGAUUGCUCCUGCUGUUCCUAUUAGGGUUUCCAAGGAUUUGACCUGUCUGGACCAGGAAUCAGGAUAAGUAUAGUUUGCACUCAUCGUGAAAAUAUUCUCUUUGCAUCAGAUGGAGACCACUACAUAAAACCAAGCUAAUUAAGAUGUAGAGUUGUAUCACUCUCUUAAAGCAGAAGCAUCUACAAUGCCCAAACCCCAUGACCUAAGGUUCAGGUAACAUUCAAAAGGAGGGGUGAAUGAUAAUAAAACUAAAAGAUCAUGGGAUUUUCUGAAAGAUUGUUUCCUCAUAAUGUCAGAAUUAAGAGAAUUUAAACAUCAGCUCCUGGAGAAUAAUCAAGAAUAACUAUAUUUAACUUUGGGAUCUGUAUGGGAGAAUGUACUAGUGAUUACAAAAGAAGUACCAUUACUAGCACUGACUAUAUUUUACCUUAUUUUGUAUCAUGUUAUGUGGGGGAGAUACAUCAUCUCUAUAUUAUAGAGAAAAUCUAUAAAAAUGUCAUUAUAUACAUAUAUAGGAGUAGGUUUUAUGAUACUUUCCAAAGUCUUUGGUUUUAGUUAUCCUUCCCCAAUCACAGCCCUUGAACCAUUCAAUUCCUUCUCAUUCAAUUUUUCUUUUGUCUUCUGUGUGUUCUAGUUUAGUAACUUGAUUAGGUAUCAAAUAUUCCUCAUUGAACAAAUGAAGUGUGCCAAUGUAGUGUGUCAAUACCCAUUUAGUGCUUCAGUAUCAUUACAAUAAAAUUGAAGCAAUUAGAUAUAUUUUUAAAAGCUUUAAGUAUAGAGGACACCAUGAUGUCAGGAUGUGAAUGUUACUGUAAAUAUAUAUAUAUAUAUAUAUAUAUAUAUAUAUGUAAAGAUGUAUAUAUAUAUAUUAUGUGUGUAUGUGUGUGUGUAUGUGUGUGUGUGUGUGUGUGUGCGUGUGUGUGUGAUGAAAAGAAAGAAAGUAUAGUGAUGACAAGUACACAGUGUGAUAAGAAGAGCAUAACAGAAUUUCUCAGUUUUCAGAAUGUUUUUGUUUUGAUCUGGGAGGAAGAAAGUUUAUCAUCUUUGUACUCCAGCAAGGUAGAUAGGCAGGAAAAAUGACUAUGUCAUAUAUAACCAGUCCAUAUUUUAUUGUGUCAUAGUGAUUAGAUUAAAACACUUUAAAAUAUUCUUAAACAAUAAUGUCUUCUGUCCUCAUUGUGCAAUCUAUAAAGACCUUUUCAAUUAGCUAUUUAUUCUGCCUUGUAGUCAUUGAUGUUGCUUAUUUCCCUGUUUUAGAUUAUUCAGAUAUCAGGCAUCUAUGUAUACAUGUGAAGGAGCCAAGCAUUCAGAUUUAUAGAUUUCAUAGAUAAUCCUACUCACAUUUUUGACCAUAGCACUGCUUUUGUCAAACUGGUAGGUCAGGGUAUUUUCCAAAAAUCUAUUGGAACAGAAAUUGAUUGGAAGGAAGUAGGAUUGUUGCUGAAAUCAACCUCAUCUUUUCACUUUCCUUUUCAUUUUCCUUUCCUUUUUCCUCUUCUUCCUCUUUCUCCUCCUCUUCUUCCUCAUUCUCCUCCUCCUCCUCCUCUUCUUCUUUUCAAAUGUUUAAAAGCCAAUUAAUUUAUGUAGCAGUGAAUAAACUUGUUGGGGCACCAGUGGAAGGGGAAGCCCUUGGUCCUGCCAAGGUUGGAUCCCCCCAGUGUAGGGGAUUGUUGGGCGGGCAGUAAUGGAGAUGGAUGGGGAGGAGGAAACCCAUAUGGAAGGGGAGAGAGGGGUUAGGGGGCUAAUGGACAAGAAACUGGGAAGUGUAAACAAGAAAUACCCAAUUUUAAUAAAAAUGGAAGAAAAAAGGAAAUGUAAAUAAAAAUAUCCAAUAAUAAAAGAUAAAAACUUUUAAUUCAUAAAAAAAGCCAAUGAACUUUCCCAAUGGGAAAUUGAAUAUGCUAUGCCAGUGGGAGCAAGGAAGACAGUCAUUCUUCCAUAGUCAUUCGGGGCUUAGGUCACAAGGAUUCAGGAGAAAACAGGAACCUAAUGUUAUUAUUCUCUCUCUAAUCAUGGCUAGGAUGAGCUGCUUAUGCUCAUGCUUUGGCUUUCCUGAAAUACAGAUUGAUAUCUGGAAAGUAUUUUCUUCUCCAGAUUGCUUUUUGUUGGCAUAAUUUAUAUUAGCCACAGAAAUGGCAAGAGAUCUGGGGGGAUAGAUCCUACUUGGUAAUGGAUAAGUAUGAACUGUGCAAUUCACUAGUGCCACCACAGCUCAUCCUUUAAGACUUUCUAAUUCCUAUUUUCUUCCACUUUAAUAAUUGAUAUGUUGGUUUUAUUAGUUAAUUUGUUUUUUUAACCAUGAUAAUCAUAGCCAGUAGGUGAAUAACUGAAUUCCUAAAUUUUUUCCCAGAUUUGUGUUUAGUGUUUAUUAAGAACUUUUUUUUUUUGGCUGGGCUAGGUGUAUGGUUUUGAAACAUAAACAAACAAACAAACAAACAAAAACCUUCUGAUUCACACUGAAUAUUUACAAUCAACAAUUCAUAUCUACAUUAGGAUUCUAAUUAGGUUUUGAGGAGCUUAAGUUGGACACACCAUCUUAGUACACAUGCCAAACUGGAUGGGGAAAUACAGAGAGGCCUCAAACCUACAUUUCAAAAAUGGAACACAAGAAACCUUCCAAUGGGAGAGUUGAUCUUCUCUAUGGAAGAGCACAUCACUGUUUGUCCAGUGCUAAACAUUAAGCUUGUGGAAGCACGUAGGCUGUAAGAGUACAGGAGCUGAGCAGGAUGUAAUUGUUACUGCAUUCAAUAACUUAAAAAAAUGAUAAAAUGCAUUUGAGGGAUACCUGUUGAGGGACAGCAGUUGGGUAACUCAGUAGGACUUUGAGGAAAAGAGAGGGGGAAGUAUUUUAAUUAUAAUCAUAAAUUAGAAGGAGAGAGAAAGAGAGAGAGAGAGAGAGAGAGAGAGAGAGAGAGAGAGAGAGAGUGAGAGAGAGAGAUGUUUUUUUUGUUUGUUUUGGAUGUCAUGAAAAUGGUACACAGUGAAAUCAAAUGGGAACAGUGGUCAUGUGAUCUUUCUGUCUUCGACAGGUUUAAAUAUAAAAGCUGAUGCACAUUCAUUCUUUUAGAAAAUAUAGUCAUGGAAUUUACUAAAUGUAAGUUAUUUUUAUACUUUAUUCACUAUACAAAACUCUUUUCCAAUGAUUUGGUAAUUUGUCUACUCAUGCCAACUAUAAAAUCAGCACCUGGAUUCUGUCAUUUGGACUUCUAAUUGUUUUGUUGUGAUUUUUCUCAUUUGUCUUUAUUAAUGUGUCUAUGUAAACAGAAGCUAAAGUAAACUUGGUAACUAUUAACUUCUAGAUCAUUUCCCAAUGUGCCAUCUUCUACAUUAUUAUUUUCCUUAAUUCAUUGUAGCUAAGUCAUUAUCUAGUUAAAUUUUGACUAGGUAUUAUUCAUUUCGGAAAUUUUUGCUUUAUUGUGCAAAGGAAGCAUUUUCUCACCUUUGGCACUUUACAAUAAACUCAUUUUGAUGUAAAUUGAUUGCAGUGGGAUUAUGUUAGAGUCAUUAAAAUAUUGCUGUAUUGACAUUCACUAAUGUUUUUAAUUAGCAUUUUCAAAUUCUAAUGUUUGGCAUCAAGUAUAAACAGAUAUGAUUUAUUAUGCAUCUAUAACAUUUUGUUUGGUUUUGUUUGUAUAUCCGUUGAGUAUAUCAAAUAAUUUUUAUAUGCUGUGUGCUAGAAUCAAACCAUCAAUUCUCAUAACAAUUUCUGAUGAUGCUGUUACCUUCAUAAUGAAGUUAUUGUGGAAACUGUGAGCUUCUGAAAACAGAUUCAGUUGACAGUCAUGAUUUGAUUUUGUUACAUUCAGAUAAUUACUGUCUUUUCUGUUACAAACUUAAAGACAUAAUAAGCAUGAUUAUUAUGUAUCAUUUUUUUUCAGAAAAUAGACACUUUCUUUGUGGACUGAAAA